rnacentral:rRNA from 1 species
AUUGAACGCUGGCGGAAUGCUUUACACAUGCAAGUCGAACGGCAGCACGGACUUCGGUCUGGUGGCGAGUGGCGAACGGGUGAGUAAUACAUCGGAACGUGCCCAGUCGUGGGGGAUAACGUAGCGAAAGCUACGCUAAUACCGCAUACGAUCUAAGGAUGAAAGCGGGGGAUCGCAAGACCUCGCGCGAUUGGAGCGGCCGGUGGCGGAUUAGGUGGUUGGUAGGGUAAAGGCCUACCAAGCCGACGAUCUGUAGCUGGUCUGAGAGGAUGAUCAGCCUCGCGGGGACUGCGACAUGGCCCAGACUCCUACGGGAGGCAGCAGUGGGGAAUUUUGGACAAUGGGCGCAAGCCUGAUCCAGCCAUUCCGCGUGCACGAUGAAGGCCUUCGGGUUGUAAACUGCUUUUGUACAGAACGAAAAGGCUCUGGUUAAUACCCGGGGCUCAUGACGGUACUGUAAGAAUAAGCACCGGCUAACUACGUGCCAGCCGCCGCAGUAA